CUGAGAUUGGAGUGGGCAGUUUUGCUGGCAACGGCGGCUGUCUCACAUCCUACAACACAUGUGAACUGUACUCGUAUUUGGCAAGUGAUGGCGUCUGCUUUUAGCAGUUUGUCAGAGUUUCCUGUUAUAGGAAAGCUUGCCACUGUUUUACUACUUUUGUUCAUUGUGAGCCUAAUUAAAUGCAAAAUACAUUAAAUGUAUGAAA
rnacentral:misc_RNA from 1 species